rnacentral:rRNA from 1 species
AACGCUGGCGGCGCGCCCAACACAUGCAAGUCCAACCAACGAAAGAAAGCUUGCUUUCUCCAGCGAGUGGCGAACGGGUGAGUAACGCGUGAGGAACCUGCCUCCAAGAAGGGGACAACAGUUGGAAACGACUGCUAAUACCCCAUAAGCCCACGACCCGGCAUCGGGUUGAGGGAAAAGGAGCAAUCCGCUUUGAGAUGGCCUCGCGUCCGAUUAGCUAGUUGGUGAGGUAACGGCCCACCAAGGCGACGAUCGGUAGCCGGACUGAGAGGUUGAACGGCCACAUUGGGACUGAGACACGGCCCAGACUCCUACGGGAGGCAGCAGUGGGGAAUAUUGCACAAUGGGGGAAACCCUGAUGCAGCGACGCCGCGUGGAGGAAGAAGGUCUUCGGAUUGUAAACUCCUGUUGUUGAGGAAGAUAAUGACGGUACUCAACAAGGAAGUGACGGCUAACUACGUGCCAGCAGCCGCGGUAAAACGUAGGUCACAAGCGUUGUCCGGAAUUACUGGGUGUAAAGGGAGCGCAGGCGGGCAGACAAGUUGGAAGUGAAAUCCAUGGGCUCAACCCAUGAACUGCUUUCAAAACUGUAUGUCUUGAGUAGUGCAGAGGUAGGCGGAAUUCCCGGUGUAGCGGUGGAAUGCGUAGAUAUCGGGAGGAACACCAGUGGCGAAGGCGGCCUACUGGGCACCAACUGACGCUGAGGCUCGAAAGUGUGGGUAGCAAACAGGAUUAGAUACCCUGGUAGUCCACACCGUAAACGAUGAUUACUAGGUGUUGGAGGAUUGACCCCUUCAGUGCCGCAGUUAACACAAUAAGUAAUCCACCUGGGGAGUACGACCGCAAGGUUGAAACUCAAAGGAAUUGACGGGGGCCCGCACAAGCAGUGGAGUAUGUGGUUUAAUUCGAAGCAACGCGAAGAACCUUACCUAAACUUGACAUCGAUCUGACAAUCUGUGUAAUGCAGACUCUCUUCGGAGCAGAGAAGACAGGUGGUGCAUGGUUGUCGUCAGCUCGUGUCGUGAGAUGUUGGGUUAAGUCCCGCAACGAGCGCAACCCUUAUCGCUAGUAGCCAUCAUUCAGUUGGGCACUCUAGUGAGACUGCCGUGGAUAACACGGAGGAAGGUGGGGAUGACGUCAAAUCAUCAUGCCCCUUAUGUUUAGGGCUACACACGUGCUACAAUGGCUGUUACAAAGUGAAGCGAGCUCGCGAGAGUAAGCAAACCACAAAAAAGCAGCCCUAGUUCGGAUUGUAGUCUGCAACUCGACUACAUGAAGUUGGAAUCGCUAGUAAUCGCAGAUCAGAAUGCUGCGGUGAAUACGUUCCCGGGUCU